rnacentral:piRNA from 1 species
UACAAAUUAAGGAGUGCAGGUUCAAU